AUGCCUACAUCUGAUUGGAGCAGGCGGUAUGUUAGAAAUACAAAGAAAACACCAGGCUACAUCCUAAAGGCUUACCCUCCUCAAGGUUCCCACUGUACAGAUACCCUCCUCAAGGUUCCCACUGUACCCUCCUCAAGGUUCCCACUGUACAUAUACCCUCCUCAAGGUUCCCACUAUACCCUCCUCAAGGUUCCCACUGAACAGAUACCCUCCUCAAGGUUCCCACUGACCCACUGUACAAAACAACUACUAAAGAGUGGGCAGUGUAACCAUUCAGAUCACAUAGAAGAUUCCUGCCUAAAAAAUACCACAAUAUUAGAGAUGAUGUCAUGAAACAUUUUCCGGAUGAGAAGACCGACCCAGGCCCUCUUCAGCAAAUCUGACCCAGGCCCUCUUCAGCAAAUCUGACCCAGGCCCUCUUCAGCAAAUCUGACCCAGGCCCUCUUCAGCAAAUCUGACCCAGGCCCUCUUCAGCAAAUCUGACCCAGGCCCUCUUCAGCAAAUCUGACCCAGGCCCUCUUCAGUAAAUCUGACCCAGACCCUCUUCAGUAAAUCUGACCCAGACCCUCUUCAGUAAAUCUGACCCAGACCCUCUUCAGUAAAUCUGACCCAGACCCUCUUCAGUAAAUCUGACCCAGACCCUCUUCAGUAAAUCUGAAGAACAUGUCUAUCUACGUUCGACAAUCAUUAAAAAAAUAAAAAUUAACUUUCAAAUUAGACAUUUCACUGUCUAUGCUCAACCUUGGUAAAAGCCUGUGCAUUCCAAAGAAGCGUUUAUUAACAUCCCUUCAGAUGAGCCAUGACUAACGUGGUUACUAAAUAUGCUGAUUAAGUGCGUCGGCAUAGCUACUGUUUUUCGGUGUCCACAUCACUAAGAAUCUAUCAUGGUCCACAGCACAGACACACACCAACACAGUCCUGAAGUGGGCACAACAACGCCUCUUCCACACUCAGGAGGCUGAAAAGAUUUGGCAUGGGCACUCAGAUCCUCCAAAAAGUUCUACAGCUGCCCAACUUACAGAAACGUUUGACCUCUGUCACUGCCAACAAAGGGUAUAUAACAAAGUAUUGAGAUAAACUUUUGUUGUUAUUGACCAAGUACUUAUUUUCCACCAUAAAUUUGCUAAUAAAUUCAUAAAAAAAUCCUACAAUGUGAUUUUCUGGAUUUUUUUUCUUCUCAUUUUGUCUGUCAUAGUUGAAGUGUACCUACGAUGAAAAUUACAGGCCUCUCUCAUCUUUUUAAGUGGGAGAACAUGCACAAUUGGUGGCUGACUAAAUACUUUUUUGCCCCACUGUGUGUGUGUGUGUGUGUGUGUGUGUGUGUGUGUGUGUGUGUGUGUGUGUGUGUGUGUGUGUGAAAUAUAUAUGUAAUAAUGACAAUUACAACAAUACUGAAUGAACACUUUUAUUUAAAAUAAUACAUAAAUAAAAUCAAUUUAGUCUCAUAAAUAAUUAAACAUGUUUUUUUUGGUUUAAAUAACACAAAAACAGUGUUGGAGAAGUAAAAGUGCAAUAUGUGCCAUGUAAAAAAUCUAACGUUUAAGUUCUUUGCUCAGAACAUGAGAACAUAUAAUAGCUGGUGGUUCCUUUUAACAUGAGUCUUCAAUAUUCCCAGGUAAGAAGCUUUAGGUUGUAUUUAUUAUAGGAAUAUUUCUCCCUAUACCAUUUGUAUUUCAUAUACCUUUGACUAUUGGAUGUUCUUAUAGGCACUAUAGUAUUGCCAGCCUAAUCUCGGGAGUUGAAAGGCUUGAAUUCAUAAACAGCACUGUGCUUCAAGUAUUGCGAAGAGCUGCUGGCAAACGCAGGAAAGUGUUGUUUGAAUGAAUGUUUACGAGUCUGCUGCUGCCUACCACCACUGUCAGACUGCUAUAUCAAAUAUCAAAUCAUAGACUGAAUUAUAAUAUAAUAAACACACAGAAAUACGAGCCUUGGGUCAUUAAUAUGGUCAAAUCCGGAAACUAACAUCUCGAAGACAAAACAUUUAUUCUCUCAGUGAAAUAUGGAACCGUUCUGUAUUCUAACUAACGGAUGGCAUCCCUAAGUCAAAUAUUGCUGUUACAUUGCACAACCUUCAAUGUUAUGUCAUAAUUAUGUAAAAUUAUCCUCGUGGAGUGCAAUGUAAUCGGUGUCCAAAAAUGCCGAUUGUUAUGAAAACUUGAACCUCGGCCCUGCCGAUUAAUCAGUCGACCUCUAAUUACUUGAACUCUGUGGAGCAUUUAUUUGGGCUGCAAUUCCUGACAUGCAGUUAACUCUAAUGAACUUAUCCUCUGCGGCAGAGUUAACCCUGGGUCUUCCUUUCCUGUGGCGGUCCUCAUGAGAGCCAGUUUCAUCAUAGCGCUUGAUGGUUUUUGCGACUGCACUUAAAGAAACUUUCAAAGUUGUUGACAUUUUCUGCAUUGACUGACCAUGUCUUAAAGUAAUGAUGGACUGUCGUUUCUCUUUGCUUAUUUGAGCUGUUCUUGCCAUAAUAUGGACUUGGCUUUUUACCAAAUAGGGUUAUCUUCUGCAUACCACCCCUACCUUGUCACAACACAACUGAUUGGCUCAAACGCAUUAAGAAGGAAAGAAAUUCCGCAAAUUAACAAGGCACAUCUGUUAAUUGAAACGCAUUCCAGGUGACUACCUCAUGAAGCUGGUUGAGAGAAUGCCAAGAGCGUGCAAUGCUGUCUUCAAGGCAAAAGGUGGCUACUUAGAAGAAUCUCAAAUAGAAAAUAUAUUUAGAUUUGUUUAACACUUUUUUGGUUACUACAUGAUUCCAUGUGUCAUUUCAUAGUUUUGACUUCACUAUUAUUCUACAAUGUAGUAAAAAUUUAAUAAGAGUUAGGUGUCCAAACUCUGUAUACAGUACCAGUCCAAGGUUUGGACACGCCUACUCAUUCCAAGGUUUCAGAGGAGUAGCAGCUACACUUCGAUAAAUAAGAUCACCAUGAUCAAGAACAGAUCAAAUAAGGUUGACUGAAUAAUCUGCUUCCUACUCCAAGGAUUCAAUCAUUUUAGCUAGACAAGGAAGCCUUGAAAUGGGCCGAUAAUUAUAAAUAUCACUACUAUCCCAGCCCUUACGGGAGUGGCAACACAAGAGCUGAUGUCUACUAUCUGCAAAAACCCUCUGAAUUGAGGUCACACUGAAACCAUUGUCAGACAACAUAAUAGCAACACUGUUUCAUAGGCACAUGAUACAUUUCUGAUCCACUACCCUAAAAACAAGCAAGUUUAUCAACAACAAAAAACAGCCUGUGUGUUAGAGAGAGAAUGACCUUUCGUACCUCUUGCUCUCGGGCAUAGUCCUCUGGGUCGUAUUCCUCCUCCUCAUGUUGAGUUUGCAGAGCAGCACUAUCAAAGUCGAUGGACAUGAUGAUCAGUACUAACACUGAGAGAAGACCUGAGAAAGCACAAGAGAGCGCAGAUGUUCAUGACGUGGCUGUGUAUUUGAUUGACAGUGAGGGCGGAGGGCUCACACAAACCACACAUCUCGUAUCAGAAACAUUGUCAUUAUGCCUUUAGUACGACUCAAAACAACACCGAGCUAGCUAACGUUAGUCAAUUAGUUAGCUGUAACGUUAGCUAGAAGAAGAAACUGUUCGGUUGAAGAGUGAUCAAAACAGUCAACUCACUGAUCACCUUACCUUGUGAUUUGAAGUACAAGUGGAUAUCCGAUGAUAAAUGUUGUCAGCGAAGACCCCAAAAAAUAAAUCUAAUGUAAAACGUUACAAAACAGCAGAUGCACAUGAUGCUGGGCAAUGAAUGAUCGGACUGGUUAGCUAACAUUAGCUAGCUAACAUAGCAACCAUUUACCAGAAAACAAACAAAGCAUCGAACGACUGGCAUGACGGGCACAGCUACCUAAUAACGUACUAGUCUGACAAGAGUACAGUUUCGUUAACAGUUGCUAAUCAGAACAUAACGUCUGCGUAUAUAUCAUAAACAACUAAAGUUAGGUUUUCAAUCUGUCUGGCUAAUAAUAGUAAUGAACUUCCUGUGUUACGACUCGCCGCUCCGUUGAAAGCUCGCGCGCCUAAACAGCGGCAUAAACUCUCCGUCGCUGAUUGGUGAAUUCAACACGCGUCAUCAAACGACCCCCCCCCCCCCCCACCACCCACCCACCAAUGGCCAUGCUGCAACACAGAUGGGUUGUUGUAGUUGUUGCCGACAACCAAAUCACCAACCUGGAAGUGAAUGGAAAUAAUGCUUUGGGAUGAUUUGUAGAGAUGGUUGCUGAUGUAUGAUAUUUACAGAAUAUGAGUUACCUCGACGUGAUACGCAAAAAAAAUAUGUUAAAAAAUAUUUAAGAAGUGACACCAUAGGAAGGUACAAUUUGUUGUUUAUUAUUCAUUAAUAAAACAGAAAGGCUCAAAUUGUUCAACAACAGUGUCAAAACAACAUACCAUAUGAAACAUGGACCUACAUUGAUGAAAUACUGUAUAGAGAGCACUGGCUAUUUUACAGAAAAGGGCAUGCUGAUUUUGACAUGCUCCACAAUAAUAUUAUACAUAAUUUGGUGUUUUCACAUUUCCGUGGAAGGCGGUAAUAUAGGGGGAGAACAGACAUGUCCUUUCCCUAUAAGAAAUGUACAUAAGUGGGAUUUUACAAUCCUCUAUCUGUACAAUGGCCAUCGUUUUCUAAUAUAAGUCGGUUGGUUUUAGGCCACACGGUCCGAGUUCCCAGACACAGAUUACGCAGAGUCCAACACCUAAACCCUAAAAAGCAUUCUCAUUGAGCAUGCUUCUAAAUCCAGGACUAGGAUUUAUCUGUGCCCAGGAAACUGGCCCAAGGCCAUGAAACACAAGCUGGCACCUCUGAUCUCCAUCUUAAAUGAUCAGUCACAUAAUAAGUGACAGUACAUUUGCCAUUGGAAGCUUUGAACAUCAUCAAUCCUACAGAUGACAAUAAUGAAUGUAGCCUACUGCUACUGUAACCCGAGAUGAAUUGGGUUAACGAGUUCCUUCAAGUUGAAAUACCCCCACCAUCGAAUUGUUAACUUUUCAAU
rnacentral:lncRNA from 1 species